UCUGUGAUGAAUUUCACGGCAUGAUCGUCUGAAGUGAUAACGCUUCCUUGUCCUCUAAGAAGUUCUGAGACU